GUUAUAUGACUGACGGAAGUGGAAUUGACCACAGGAAGUAUAAUGUAUAAGAGCCGACCGUCUGGGCAA
rnacentral:ncRNA from 1 species